GCACUGCCCAAUGAGGCCACAGGCAGCCAAACAUAUGGUCUGUAUGAAAUCUGAACUGUCUCUCGAGGAAAGAAGAUGGACAAUCGUUUUCCCCGUGUUACUGAGGUUAAACAAAAAUACGCACUCACGAAACUGAAUAUUAUACUUAUGGUCUCAAACCUACGGAUUCCUUUUAAUAACUGUAAAUCAUCAAACAGCCACAAAAGUGAAAAGAGACUUAUAAAUCUCUGGCUGCUGGAAGAGGUCUCUUAAUAAAUGACUGGCGUUUAUGUUAUCAGAUGGCGUUUGGCCUAACAGCACUUUCUGAGAGAGAAGACAAAAAGGAUACUGCACCUUUCAUGUUCCUUGGAUUCUGUCAUUCUUUUUCCUUGAAUUACACAACUGGUCUACAUUUGGUGGCCAUUUUCAGCUUUUAAAACUGUGUUCAACAUAAAAAAUAUUUUUUUUCCAAAAAUACACUGGGUUCUUUCUGUUAAAAGUCAUCUUUCUCCUGUAAAAAUCUUCCCCAGCACUGCAUUCUUAUAUAAAGCACUUAUUACACAAUUUGCUGAAAGUGCCCUUGAGACGCUAAGAUCUGAAGCAUGGAGGAUUCUUUUUCUUUUAAACGGAGAGAAAGAAAGGAAAAGAAACAGAGAAGAGAGGAGAAGCAGUCUGUCAAAAAUUUUCAUUGUCAUGUCCACCUGGCUACAUCUACUAUGGGCAUACAGGGAAAAAAGAAAAAAAAUGGGCAAGAAGAAAAAGGAGAAAAGAAAGGAAGGAGAAGUUGGGAGUGGAAGGGAGAAAUAAAAGGAAAACAACAAAAGUUCAUCCUAAGCCUGGGAUCCUCCAGGCUAUAAUAUUCCAGCUGAUAGAAAAACCACUGAACAAAAAAAGUAGUCUAGAAAAUAGAAAGUGUUGUGAUUACAAAGUUGAGCAUUUCAUCAGUACAAACUGGUCUUUGAACGUCCUUUGGGAGAGCAACUGUAGUGUCCAAAUUGGAAGGAAAAAAAUACAACACCGCAUGGAGGAGGACUUUUUUUUUUUUCCCUUUUGGUUUAUCACAGCAUUUUUCUUUUUUUUUUUUUUAUUAAUUUUUUUUUUGGCACAGCUUUUUUUUUCCCAGCCAUCAGAGCAAGUUCUCAGACGCAAACCAAACAGUGCAAUGCCUAGCUGGUGGCUUCAUGCUUCCAAGGCUGAAUGUUCCAGGUGGAAACCAUUCCCUCCCCCUCUGAAGUGACUGUGUUUUUACUCCUUGAUGAAGGUUACGGACAAAAUACUAGACACCUGUGGCCAGGGAGAGUUGGUUUCACAGUACACUCUAACUUUGUUCAAGUUCGUACAGUUCUGGAGCUGUUAAGAAUAGUUUUGAAGAGUGCUUCUCCCCACACAUUCACUGCUGGUCCAUUUGAAAUUUCUUCUAAAUCUUCACUUUUACUUCCGCAGAUCUAGAACACAAACCGAUCCAUCUGAUGCGCUUGCUCCCACUUUGUCUCCUCUAGCAUUCCAGCAGACUUCAAAGAUGCCUCCGGUGCCUCGGUAGCUAUGUACUAGAGUUCCACUCUGAGUAUUCCAUAUAUGGACACAUUUGUCAAAGGACCCACUGGCUAGAUAUUUUCCAUCGGGACUAAAAGCUACACUGUAGACAGGCUCUUGAUGUUUUGUUAAUGUAUGGAUGCAGACGCCUCG
rnacentral:lncRNA from 1 species